GGGGCAUGGCUCAGCUGGCUAGAGCGCCGGCUUUGCAAGCCGGAUGUCAGGGGUUCAAAUCCCCUUGUCUCC
rnacentral:tRNA from 1 species